rnacentral:rRNA from 1 species
UUUUCCUACGGGGCGCAGCAGUGGGGAAUAUUGCACAAUGGGGGAAACCCUGAUGCAGCGACGCCGCGUGAGUGAAGAAGUAUCUCGGUACGUAAAUCUCUAUCAGCAGGGAAGAAAAAAAGUCUUUGGCUUUGGACGGUACCUGACUAAGAAGCCCCGGCUAACUACGUGCCAGCAGCCGCGGUAAUACGUAGGGGGCAAGCGUUAUCCGGAUUUACUGGGUGUAAAGGGAGCGUAGGCGGCAGGGCAAGCCUGAUGUGAAAGCCCGGGGCUCAACCCCGGGACUGCAUUG